CUCAGUUCCAAACUGUAUCUGCUCUAAUCCUAAAUAUCCUAAGUAAAUUUAAAAGCGUCCAACGCCCAAGCUCCAAGCUUUACUGCCCAAAAAAGUGCAUAAACCGUUCCAAACGGCAAACUGAUCCAAUCAGUAGCUAUUUAGGAGCGUCGUUGUUCUCCACACUUGCCAAGUGAACUAUCCCUCCCAGAGGAAGAUGUCGAUCGUCACCGACAAAUUGGAAGCGUCACCUUCCGACAAUGCACUUCCUAGAACAUCCCACAGUUCCGUUCUACAGAAAUUUACUUGUAUUUUAAAGACAUCCUAUGAAACCACCAAACCGACUUUAUUGAUGUCCAAGCCCAGCUUUAUAUUCAAUUAUGACUGUAUUACCAUACACAGUUUCCAAAUUACCUAUAAUCCUAAAUUCAGUAGUCCAACUAGUUUAAAUUCUCUUUCCUUAGCAGUCCAACUGCAUUUAAAUCCUCGUAGCAGUCCAACUGCUUUUCCUUUAAUCAGUACUGUCACUUAACCUUACAUUAUCAUUACUUCAACUUCAAUUCUCAUGAGAUUUUCACCAAAAUCAAAACAGACCUUUACCAGUAAUUUUCAGUGAGUAGACUUUCAAUUUUGUCAGAACCAAUUCAGCACUGUUUGGAAAUAAUUCAACAGGUAGUGCCUUACCUUUGAAUAAGCCGGCUUAUGUCCACUCACUUCGACCACUGACUCGUGUCUGCCUGUUUGAGCACCUUGGACCCUCUCAGUCUCAACCUCCAACUCUCUCUACUCAACCUCGGCCAAUGCACCAAAUGUUACGGGUUCGAAAUUGAGGAUGAGAGUAAAACAAUGAUGGUCCAGAAGAGGUCAAUCAAACAAUUGAUUUUUAAUGAAUGCACGCAGCGUGGAGAGGUGCAAACUGCAGAACAGUUGUACAUCUCUGCCCAAAAUACACUCUAGAUUGCUUUUAUAACAUCAGGGUAUUGUAACGCCCUUCUUGCGUUUACAAGCACAUAAUUUGCAUGUACAGAACAUUCAUGUAUUUUAAGAAUUAAAUGCAACAUAGAGGUUCCUCCUUGUGGCAUACUCUUCCGAAUAUGGUGAUGACCUAAGGCCUUUGAGGUCACCCUGGACUGGACAUCCUUCCGUCACCUGUAACUAGGCAAACUCAAAUACCACAAGAAGCUGAAUACAUUCAGGCCUUUACUCAGCUACUAUUUUACUGUAACAAUAUACUCAGCCUAUAAGCUUUUAAGAUUAUAGAUUUAACUCAACGAUUUAAGUGGUUGUAACUGCACCUGUAAUAAACAUGUUAAUAUUAGAUUAUGAUAACCCCUGUAAUACAAAUUAUAACAUAAUGCCAACAACUUCAAUAAAUGCUUGGAUGAAAUGAUAAUUAAUGCAAUGAUAAAGAUGAUGGUUAUGAACAGUAACCCUAAAAUAAUUCCUAUAAUUCUACAUUAGGCACCUUCUUCAUUGCACCUUUCUGCAGCUCCAAUAGUUGGCUAACCUCCCUCCAUGCUACCUUGAUCGUGGCCUCUGGUCUACUUCUCCAUGGAGGGUAUUGGUCCUUGUGGCUGUUCAACUUAUAGCCAAGCAUCUCACUGAUCACUGCAACAGUGGUGUAGAUCAGCUGGUUAGUCUCAGUAAUGGUGGCGGUAGGUAUUGUCCGUAGUGCUGCAUUCACAUCAUCUAAUAGAUCUUCUGAGGGUACUUCAUGUAAUCUUGGUAACCGGCUACAGAGGAUCCAGGUUUCAAGCUUCACCAUGAUCCUACCUUUCGGGUCAGUUCCUCUUGCAUUCAACGUUCCUUCUUCCAUCGCACUUGCAGCUUGAUACCCAAUUUUGAGUUGGGAUGAUGAUAUAUCCCCUCUGACCUAUCAUCCUGGCUCCCCCUUGCCGUAGCAUAUGUUUUGUACCUUAUCAAUCUCUAGCCGUGAGAGCAACCUCUUCUUCUGAAUAUUGGAACACUGAGCUACUAGUUGUUUCGCUGUCAAUGUUGAUGCUGGGUAUCGGAGAUACCAUAGGUCCCUCAUCCUAUUCAUGCAACCCCUUUGGCUGGGGCAUUCCAACAGUGUCCUAUUUUUGUCUCUUGCCCACCGAUGCUGUCUUGUUCCAGUAGCCCACUUCUUAUCAGGGUGCCUUAGGUCCUCAACACCUGACACCCACCUUGUUAUUCCGGGCGAUGUUUGAGCUGGUAUGGUAUGACAGAGUUGUGUGACUGUGCAUCACCAGAUCUCCUGUGUGGCUCAUGAUGUACUCUGCAGCAUUCGUGUUGUGAGCCAAGACAUACUCAUGUCCUAAUGUGUCAGCCUGCUGCAAAGUAGAUACCCUUAGUCCAUUUAAAUAAAAACUAAAACACUCGGUUUGUGGCUAAAUUAGUUGCGUGGCCAAUGUAGCACAAUAGCUACAUGCUCAAAGUAUGUAUCAAUAUCUGUCUCUGAAAAUACAGGAACCAAGCAACUGUUCUUACUCAAGUGAAAUAGUGACACACACAUUGGUUCACCAGUGCUAAUAGUGCAUGUAAGUCCCCCGACGGGUCCUGACAGCGCGAGCGCACCGCGGCGACAUCAGCCCGCCACAGCCGGGAGAGCAGGGGAGCAGCGACAGACGCUAGGACAAUGCUUCGUCGGCUGCCUCUGUUGACAGAUACGCCGAGCCCCCGACAGCGUGCAGUAAUGCCUACAACGGCAGCUAAGGUACCGAAAUACAACGGGCUAACCCCGCUAGAGCCCUACCUCUCACAAGUCCGGCUGGCAGUGGUGCAUAGUGGCUGGAGCGACAAAGAGGCUGCUACGCACCUAGCGCUAGCAUUGGAAGGAGAUGCACUGCAGGUACUCCUUGACCUAGCCCUGGCAGAGCAGCAUGAGCUCCAGGCCCUCACCAUGGCACUUGAGAGGCGAUUUGGGCAGUGGCACUCCACUGAUCAGAGCAGGGAGCAGCUGACCAACCGGAGCCGUCAGGCGGGGGAGAGCCUGGGCACUUUUGCAGCGGAUGUGUUGCUGUAUGCUCGUCGUGGCUACCCGGAGUUCCCAGCAGCAGCCCGUGAGGAGCUUAGCCUGCAUGCUUUUCUGUGUGGACUUUCUCCAGAGCUUCUGCGCCAACACGUCCGCCAGGCCAUGCCUUGAACUCUCCGUGAGGCGCUCCUUGAGGCUGAAAGGGCCGAGCUGGUGCUGGCCUCGCGACCUAACCAGGUGACCCCCCCAAACUACCCCCAAAUCAGAGCUGCAGACUGUGACGGGGAGGUCGCGGAGAUAUGCCAACUGCAGCCCUCGGUGCCCCGAAGGCAUCCUCGUCGACUGACUGACCGCUGCUACCGGUGCGAUGAGCCUGGCCACGUGGCGCACAACUGCCCCUGAGCUGCUGUGUUGAGGACCAGCCCUGCCCUGUUGGAUAUGGGGUCUACCAUUUCCCUAAUAUGACCUGGUGUACUUCCCGGAAUGUCCGGGCCGCUUGUGAUGAGUUGGUCACCCACCGACACCCAGCUGAUGACGGUGACGGGGGAGAGGACUGACAUGCGGGGGAAGAAACCAUUGCGGAUCCGAGUGAAGGAUCUGGGGCUGAUGCAUGACUUCUGGCUUGCUGACAUCCAAGACAGUGCAUCAUCGACCUUGAUCUGCUGACCCGUUAGGGGGCCUGCGUUGACACCGUGAAGCUGGCCAUCACUCUUGGUACAGAGACUCUGGCCCUCCAGUGCGGUCAAAAGCAGGGAACGGAGGGGACCAGAGACAGACAAGCCGGGCUUCAGGCAGCUGCUGCUCAACAGACUUCGGGCGCCAGUGGCUCUGGAUCAUCUCUACUCGCCUCAGCCCCAGCCUCUAGGCCUGAUAAAUCCCCCUCAACCGAGACAACCCAAGCUGUUGAUGACCUGUGGCUUCGCAGCAGCGUAGGUCUCACCGUUGACCAGCGCCAGCGGUUGAGGUGCCUCCUGGACGAGAACGUGGACAUCUUUGCCGCUAGCGACAAAGACUGCAGGCAGACGGGGCUGGUUCAGCACACCAUCGACACCGGCUCUGCUCAACGCAUUCAUCUGUGCCCACACCGGCUGCCCAUCUCGAAACGGCAGGUGGCAGAGGAAAAGAUCCACGAGAUGGCUGCGGCUGGGGUGAUCGAGCCGUCGGACAGCCCACAGGCAGUGCCCGUGGUCCUGGUGGGAAAAAAGGAUGGCAGCCUGAGAUUCUGCGUGGAUUUUUGCCGUCUCAAUGUGGUCACCAAGAAGGACUCGUACCCGCUUCCACAGAUAGACAAGGCCCUGGAUUACAUUGCCGGCUCCAGCUGGUUCAGCUCCCUCAACCUACACAGCAGUUACUGGCAGGUGGAGCUAGCCCCCGGCGGAAGGCCUAAGACUGCAUUCACCAUCGGACAGGGGUUGUGGCAGUUCAGGAACUACUGCGUGACUCUGCGUGAGCUGCUCGCCGUAGUAUUGGCGGUGCGGCACUUCCGGCCAUACCUACAUGGCUGCCAUUUCCUCAUGCGCACUGACCAUGCGUCUCUCACUUGGCUCCUUAACUUCAAACACCCAGAAGGUCAGGUGGCCCGCUGGCUGGAGGUUCUUCAGGGCUACGACUUCGAGACCCAGCAUCAGGCAGGUCGGCAGCAUGGCAACGCUGAUGCCCUCUCCAGACGGCCCUGCAUGGCCGUCGAGUGCCGCUACUGUUGGCGGAAGGAGCAGCGGGCCCAGGUGGCACUGGGCGUGGCUACUGCUCAGGUCACAGCCAGCAGAGGGGGAUGGCUCCUGUUGACCACGCAGCAGCUGAAGCAGGAGCAGGAGGCUGAUGCGACGUUGGUUCAGGUGGGGCCUGGCUGGAGGCGGCGCCACGCCCGGACUGGACGGGGGUGUCAGGACAGGGGCCUGAAGUGAAGGCCUGCCACUCCCAGUACAACAAUCUGGAGACCCACGACGGCCUCCUAUACCGGAGAUGGCGGGCCCCCGGUCAGGGCAAAGACCUCCUGCAGCUGUUGGUGCCCUGGUUGCAGGUGCUUGAGCUUGUCCACGGCUAGGUGGGGGCCAGCCACUACGGGAAUGCCAAAACUCUCCGUCGUCUCAGGGGACGGUUCUACUGGCCUGGUUGUCGACGAGAUGUGGAACUUCAUGUGCACUGCUGUGACACCUGCACGGCACAGAAGGGCCCAACUCAGCUCUCCACUGCCCCCCUGCAGCAGUACUUGGUGGGGGCCCGAUGGAGCGAGUGGGAGUGGACGUCCUAGGGCCUUUCCCCGUCACCGAGUCAGGGAACCAAUAUGUGUUGGUGGCCAUGGACUAUUUCACGAAGUGGCCGGAGGCCUACGCGGUGCCAGAACAUAGUGCGACCACGACGGCGGAGAAACUGGUGGAGGAGAUGUUCACCCGUUUUGGGGUCCCGACUGAGCUCCACAGUGACCAGGGGCGUAACUUCAAAUCGAAGGUCUUCGGGGAGAUCUGUCGGUGGCUGGGGGUGGAGAACCACACCGCUCCACCCGCAGAGCAACAGCUUGGUCGAGUGCUUUAACCGCACGCUGGCCACCAAGCUCGCCAUUCUCACCAGCCGCCACCAGCGGGAAUGGGACCGACAUCUGCCCCUGGUCCUCUGGUUGCAGUCCAGUCCAGGAGUCCAGCCAGUGCAUGCCUGCCGCAUUGAUGUUAGGGCAGGAGCUCCGGAUGCCCGUGGAUUUGGUGGUCGGGUCCCCCCCUGAGCCGGAGAUUGAUAGUGGGCCAGAGAUGGACUACUACAGGAGGCUGAGGGAGCGGCUGCAGGUGGUUCAUGACUACACCCGCCAGGCCCAGGCCAGCGCCAGAGUAUGACAGAAAAGAGCCUACGACACCAGGUGCCGAGGGUUAGCUUUCAAGCUUUCGUGCCUGGCGACAAGGUUUGGGUGUACUGCCCUGUUCAUAAGAGAGGAGUGUCCCCCAAGCUGUGCAGUCACUGGCAGGGGUCGGCGGAGGUCGUGGAGCGGCUGACAGAAGUGGUGUACCGGAUCCGCAUGCCGGGCCCGGGACACAUGGUGGUGUUGCAUCAGGACAGACUCUCACCGUACCGACCGCUCGCUCUAGCAGUCGCCGGGGCAGGGGAUGCUGGUGGCACCCCAUGUUCUGAUCCGAGUGACUCUUCCCCAGCCGGUCGAGAUCUGCCUGCGCGUCGAAAGAAGACACCUGGACAUUUGCAGGACUUUGUGUUGGGUAAUGGGGUUGUCGGGGACGACUGACCCCUUAGGUGGGGGCUAUGUAGCGGGUCAAGGCUGUUUGGGUUUUGUUUGACAGCUGUGUUCUGUUGUUUCAGGAGGCAGCGUUAUGUUGCCAUGGUUACCAUGUGACGCUCUCUCUGCGUCUGUGUUUUUUCUGUGUGGGGUGAGAGAGCGCCGUUUUUUUGUUGUUGUUGCUGCUGAAUGCUAAUAAACGGCUGUGCUCCCUGGCUAACUCGGGGGAAGCAAGACCAAACGACACCUCUGUCUCCUCCUUGUCUGAGCUCGCCACAAUAUGUUUGUGGCAGCUUUGGCUCAGGUGGUAGAGUAGGUUAUCUACCAAUCAGAAGGUGCGUUGCUCCAUCACAUUAAAGAAAAGCUGCAGGACACUAGACUGCUGGGCAGUACAAGUAUUCCCAGGACAUGUUCCCAGUGUUGGAGAAAUUGUUUAUCCUUCAUUACAAAACCAGCAUUAAGACAUGGAAUUCCUGUUAUGACAUUAUAUCACUAGAACAGGGAUAACAUCUUUUGGUGAUAUCACAACACGGAAUCACCAGAAUUCUAAAACAGCUGUUGUAUUGUUAUAAUUUCCACUUUAGAAAUGUAGCAAAGCAGAAAGGACAUUUUAACAGUCAGAAAAUGAGAAAUCAGACACUGACUAUCUAGAAGAAGUGAGAAAUAACUUCUUGGCUGUUCAGUAACAAUACAAGCCCUUCUGCACCCAGAGUGUGACUAUAUGUAGACACAGCCAGAAAGUCUGUCAAUAAAACCAACUGGCUGUAUUGGGACACCAAAAAAAUUCAGGCCUUCAGUGACACAAUGAAGAGCUGAAAAAACAAACUGAGGACCUGAAAUAGUUGGUAUGAUGUUCCUUUUCUGAAAUUCUGUGUUACUUUUACACCAGAUGUAAUAGGACACAUACCUUCCAAAAAGUUCAACUUUUUUCUAGUCAGUCCACAGAGUAUUUUCCUAAAAGUCAGAUGUUUUCUGGCAAAACUGAGACAAGCACUUUUUCACACAGGGCCAUGUAGGUUUGGAUUUUUUCCCAAAUAAUGAUAAACACCUUCAUUUAGAAACUGCAUUUUGUGUUUACUUGUGUUAUCUUUGUCUAAUAUUUAAAUUUGUUUCAUGAUUGGAAACAUUGAAGUGUGACAAACAUACAAAGCAAUAGGAAAUCAGGAAGGGGGCAAAAACUUUUUCACAACACUGUAGGAGCAAAACAAGAGCAAAAACUAUUGGUCUUGUUUUCAACAAGUGAUUGGCAUCAUCACGUCUUGCUUUUUGUCCUGGCAGGCAAAAUGAAUUGUGGCACACAGAGUUAUAUUUUAUGUCCAGCUAGUUUUGUUGCAGGUAGAUUACAACCGAAUCCUAUACAUCAUUAUGAUCGCAAAAACCAAGAUGCAGGUGAUCAUAACAAAAACCUUCCUAAGAGGCUUUUUAGUUAUUUAGUUAUAGUGUUACUUUUUACUCACUGCAUUUCACUUCAUUAAGAAAUCAAGAGAUCUGUGUGUUUGUUUGCAAACAGCUGACAUUAUGUAUGUAUUCUUGUAGCAAAUAAACACCUCUCCCCCACAACAAAAAGCAAAAAACAAACAAACAAACAAGAAAAUAUAAAGACACAUGUUGUCCUGCAUGGAAUAAUUAAAAAUUGGAUUUUGUAUGUUUUUGUCUGCAUGCAUUUUGCAUUUCUAUGCCUUACACACAUUUUUAAAACGAGGUUUUAGGUGCCAAGUUUAUAAGUGUUUCUGAUGGAUGAAAUGUUUUUUCGUUUUUUGAAAUAGCAAUACUAAAAAAAACAAAACUCAUUUUCUAUUUUGAAGUUGUAUGUAUACUUUGUCUUCAUUUCCAUAUUUUGUGUUUUGUCCUCUCUACCUAUGAACUCAUUUUCUCUUCUCUUUCCACUCAAUCCCAGCCAGUCGGGGCAGAUGGCUCCCUCUCUCUGAGCCUGGUUCUGCCACAAUAAUAGGAUCUAAUCAUCUCUUUACCUUAUAGUAUAACGUACCUUAAAGUGACUAUUGUGACUUUAUUUAUUAUAGACAUAUAAUGAAUUGAAUGUAAUUUAACUAAAUAAAUCUGUCUUUGUGUAUAAAAGGGGUUUUAUACCCGAAUAAAGAUGUAAAAAAUGUAAGACUAUACAAUUACAGAUUUAAUAUUCAAAAUCAAGCCAUAGAUGCAUACAUUUAAAAGAAUCUGGAGAACAAAAAAAGCAAGGUCAGUAAAGGAAUGUGUCUCAUCAAUUCUAUAUUGGAGAACCAGCAUCUAGUUGUAACUACGGCUUAUAUCCGCUAGGUGGCGUCUUUUCUCCAUCUCUGCUGCUUUAACUUCGGAAAUCCCUCUCCCUGUGCAGUAUUCUCUUAGCUUAUUAACCUUAUGUGUGACAGCACCAGUCGGGCUUCUUUUCCUUGUCUUCUAUGAUGUGACUGACAUCAUUUCAGUUUGGUCCAGGAUCGUGCAGUCCCCGCACAAGUCUGUCACUGGUUCUGUUACGGGGGAGCUUGAUAUAAAACUCUCAUCAGCUUCGUGUGAGCGCGAGUCGCACGAGAGCCGCCAGUGUUUCCUGUGACGUAGGCCAGCCGCACCGCACUGCACUUUAGGGAGCUGCGAAAGGCGAAGAAAAGCGUGCGCUUCUCUCUUGUGGAUGCAACCGGCUGCUCUUAUAAGGUAUUUUCUCUGAAUUGUCGGACACUUUGAUAUGAGACCAAUCAGGGCUGGAGGGGGAGGGUCCUGGGAUUUUCCCGUGUGAGUCGAACCUACACCUGCAGGCGAUAAGGGUUGACAUUAACCUGUCUGUUAAACGGAAAUCACAAUUUCUCUGACAGAACUAUGAUCAGCGCUGAUCUCUAACCAAAGACACCGAGGAAAAGGUGGAUUUUCACAUCACUUGUUUUGUUUGUGGAUUCUGGAUCGAAUCCCAGUGGAGGAAUUUGACAGAACAUGUUUAAUGUGAUGUUACUAACUGCUGGAGACACAAGACAACCGGCUGACUUGCGAAGCUGACGAGAAAAACUCUUCUUACUAGGAAAAAAAAGAUUCCUGAAGAUUUACCGGUGAUAUUUAACAGGUACAUUUUAAUUACAUUACAUUUACAUUUUCUGUAAAUGUAGCUACAAAGUACGUCGCAUGUAAUUGACAAAAUUUUUAGAUUAUUUAUUUAUUUUAUUGAUGUAUUUAUUAUUUAUUUAUAUUUAUUUAUAGAUUUUGUGACAGUAGCUAGUUCUACAAUUGACUCAAUCGUGCACAUGAGCCCACAGUGUACCGUGCUGGCACGCUUUUACGCCUCCCCCCCUUUAUGUACCCGUCUUGGUGACUUCGUGCGCAUACCUGAAAAAUGCUUGCGUGUUCUGCAUGUUCCCACUGGGAAAAUGUUCAGGCACGUGUGAGUGCGCUCAGUUUAAGAAUCUAUACUGUACGUUCACGCUCUUUGGCCAGUGUGUGCGUAUCCAAGUUUGCUUAGGAUGAUGAUGAUGAGUUUGCGUGUGCAAGGUUCACUAAGUGUGUGUCUUCAUGGCAAACAGGCGUAGAAAAAGGGGCAAAACAAACAAGAAAAGAAUUAACUGAAGGAAAGGAUAAAAAGAAGUCGGCGAGCUGCACAGAAACAAAGUGCAGCUCACAGAGACAAUGCGUGUAUAUAUUUUUUCCAUUGUGCAGCAUCCAAUAAGAAGUUGCUGACUUUAUCUAUUUACCUGGAAUCAUCAUCAUUAGCCAUCAUCAGCAAAGUUCAUAAGGCAGGUAGAAACUCACAUUUCAACCACUGUUUAAAUACACUUAUAGCCAUGUGUAUGUAUGAACUUGAACACACUUUGGUAUAUGAGGAAGGGUUGUUGCAAUACUAGGAUUUCCAGCUCAGUGUUGAUCCCUGGGGAAAACAGCAAAGAAGCAUAUUUAAAAAUAAAGCUCAGAACAAUACAAAUAAUAAUAAUAAUAAAUCUGUCACAACACUAUUUUAAAGGUGACUGGUGUAGAGCAAAAAUAUGUUAAGAUACCAGUAAAGUGUGUAUAUCAUAUAUAUAUAUGUAUCUA
ensembl:lncRNA